GGUCAUAUCAUGGAGAAACACCGGUUCUCGUCUGAAGUUGAGCAAUGUUGAGCCUGCUCAGUACCUAGAUGGGUGACCACUUGGGAAUAGUAGCUGCUGUAAG